rnacentral:piRNA from 1 species
UGGUUUUGAAGAUUUAUUGUAA